rnacentral:rRNA from 1 species
GACGAACGCUGGCGGCGUGCCUAAUACAUGCAAGUAGAACGCUGAAGGAGGAGCUUGCUUCUCUGGAUGAGUUGCGAACGGGUGAGUAACGCGUAGGUAACCUGCCUGGUAGCGGGGGAUAACUAUUGGAAACGAUAGCUAAUACCGCAUAAUAGCAGUUAUUGCAUGAUAACUGUUUGAAAGGUGCAAUUGCACCACUACCAGAUGGACCUGCGUUGUAUUAGCUAGUUGGUGGGGUAACGGCUCACCAAGGCGACGAUACAUAGCCGACCUGAGAGGGUGAGCGGCCACUGUGACUGUGAGACGGCCCAGACUCCUACGGGAGGCAGCAGUAGGGAAUCUUCGGCAAUAGACGGAAGUCUGACCGAGCAACGCCGCGUGAGUGAAGAAGGGUUUCGGAUCGUAAAGCUCUGUUGUAAGAGAAGAACGAGUGUGAGAGUGGAAAGUUCACACUGUGACGGUAUCUUACCAGAAAGGGACGGCUAACUACGUG